rnacentral:rRNA from 1 species
AAUAGAUACCCAGGUAGUCCACGCCGUAAACGAUGGAUACUAGCUGUUUGAGCGCAAGUUUGAGUGGCUAAGCGAAAGUGAUAAGUAUCCCACCUGGGGAGUACGGGCGCAAGCCUGAAACUCAAAGGAAUUGACGGGGGCCCGCACAAGCGGUGGAGCAUGUGGUUUAAUUCGAUGAUACGCGAGGAACCUUACCAGGGCUUAAAUGUAGAUUGACGUAUUUGGAAACAGAUAUUUCUUCGGACAAUUUACAAGGUGCUGCAUGGUUGUCGUCAGCUCGUGCCGUGAGGUGUCAGGUUAAGUCUUAUAACGAGCGCAACCCCUGUUGUUAGUUGCCAGCGAGUAAUGUCGGGAACUCUAGCAAGACUGCCAGUGUAAACUGUGAGGAAGGUGGGGAUGACGUCAAAUCAUCACGGCCCUUACGUCCUGGGCCACACACGUGCUACAAUGGCCGGUACAGAGAGCAGCCACUUAGCGAUAAGGAGCGAAUCUAUAAAGCCGGUCACAGUUCGGA